UAGGGAAUCUUCCACAAUGGACGCAAGUCUGAUGGAGCAACGCCGCGUGAGUGAAGAAGGCUUUCGGGUCGUAAAACUCUGUUGUUGGAGAAGAAUGGUCGGCAGAGUAACUGUUGUCGGCGUGACGGUAUCCAACCAGAAAGCCACGGCUAACUACGUGCCAGCAGCCGCGGUAAUACGUAGGUGGCAAGCGUUAUCCGGAUUUAUUGGGCGUAAAGCGAGCGCAGGCGGUUUUUUAAGUCUGAUGUGAAAGCCCUCGGCUUAACCGAGGAAGUGCAUCGGAAACUGGGAAACUUGAGUGCAGAAGAGGACAGUGGAACUCCAUGUGUAGCGGUGAAAUGCGUAGAUAUAUGGAAGAACACCAGUGGCGAAGGCAGCUGUCUGGUCUGUAACUGACGCUGAGGCUCGAAAGCAUGGGUAGCGAACAGGAUUAGAUACCCUUGGUA
rnacentral:rRNA from 1 species